rfam:Flavobacterium rivuli WB 3.3-2 = DSM 21788 strain WB 3.3-2 contig5, whole genome shotgun sequence.
GCUAAGGUUUUACUUAAAACCACUAACUGGGCCAUUGCAGAAAUAG